rnacentral:rRNA from 1 species
UAGGGAAUCUUCGGCAAUGGACGAAAGUCUGACCGAGCAACGCCGCGUGAGUGAAGAAGGUUUUCGGAUCGUAAAACUCUGUUGUUAGAGAAGAACAAGGACGUUAGUAACUGAACGUCCCCUGACGGUAUCUAACCAGAAAGCCACGGCUAACUACGUGCCAGCAGCCGCGGUAAUACGUAGGUGGCAGCGUUGUCCGGAUUUAUUGGGCGUAAAGCGAGCGCAGGCGGUUUCUUAAGUCUGAUGUGAAAGCCCCCGGCUCAACCGGGGAGGGUCAUUGGAAACUGGGAGACUUGAGUGCAGAAGAGGAGAGUGGAAUUCCAUGUGUAGCGGUGAAAUGCGUAGAUAUAUGGAGGAACACCAGUGGCGAAGGCGGCUCUCUGGUCUGUAACUGACGCUGAGGCUCGAAAGCGUGGGGAGCAAACAGG